CUCCGCUUGAAGAAAACAUCACACAUAAAUAUCCCCAGACUCCAGCUCACAAUAAGAAGUGUCCAUACCGCGCCAAGAUGCUGAGCUGCGCUGGGCUCCCUGGGAAGCUGGAAAGUGAAAGCUUGCUGUGAUCGGCUCUCCCGAACUGCACACACCACCAGAGAGGAGCAGUGAGGAAGGGACACCAGCCUCCUACCUGGAAGCCUCAUUCCACUAGGGCAGCAAGAUUUUCCUGACCUUUGGCAUCAAUCGUCUCCUGUGGGAACACUAGCAGCAGCCUCUGUCUUGAAGCCCAGCAUGCCUGUGCUGGACAGGAGAAUCUCAGUCUUGCCUGUUAGAAGUCAGAGACCAAGCAUGGUGGAGAAGGAGGAGAACGUGAUUUAAACACACACACACACACACACACACACACACACACACACACACCUGGUCACACACCCAAGGAAGCAGCCUGUAGUUCACAGAUUCGAUCAACAAACCUAUCAAAGCACUUAAGUAGAUAAAGCACAAGCUUAGAUACUAAAAUUUUAAUGUGAGAAGGGACUUAGAACCCAUCUGCCCAUUCUUAUUUAAAACAGGAGUAAUCUUUGCUACGCUCCUGGCAGGCUUUGGGAUAGAGGUGGAUAGUCCCUCUUUGGACAGUUCCAGUUCUUAGGGGUGAUUUUGCUAUCACGGACUGACCUGCACAUAGAUCAGCCUAUUCCUAUCAUCUGCAGAUGAACUUUUGUUCCCCACAAAAAAAUAUAUAUUUUUUUUUAAAUAUUUACACGGCUCCUUCUAGCCUCUUCCCACAGGCAGCAUGGGUGUCUCAUGAGUCAACAUUCCCUCACUCCUUACAAAGAACAAUUUCUGGGCUCUUUGCCAUUCCAGUUGCAACGCUGGAGACGUGAGCUAUCUAGGACCCUAAAGAAGCAGGGUGACUGGGUCUGGAGGGAAUGCCUCAAAGGUGGCUCAUAAGAUUGCUCCAGUGCACGAAGAGGCCUUUGCUGUCUCUGAGCUGCUUCUUCCUGUAUUCCAGAAGACCCGGGCUGGGCCAGCUGAGGACUGUGACGUCAGCCAAUUUGGCAGGUGUGACCUUUGUGACUUUGAGUAGCCCACUCCCUAACUGGUCUUGCUUUACUUGUGAAUUGUCACACUUUCGUUAUCAGGUUUUCAUGGAAAGCAUUAGCUUUCCAGCCUCAUGGCAGAUAGAUAGGCUGUAGCCAUAUUUACUGCCACAACUCUAUGGCAUUUCAAGGUCCCUGCCAGCAAGUAAGUUGCAGCAUUAUGUCCACAGACAACACACAAGUCCUCUCUCUGUAGUCAGCCCUCCUGCUUCUGCCUCUGCCUCUGCCUCUGCCUCUGCCUCUGCCUCUGCCUCUGCCUCUGCCUCUGCCUCUGCCUCUGCCUCUGCCUCUGCCUCUGCCUCUGCCUCUGCCUCUGCCUCUGCCUCUGCCUCUGCCUCUGCCUCUGCCUCUGCCUCUGCCUCUGCCUAAACCCAGUUCAAGUGUUUUCUAAAGACACACAAAGCCCUUUGUGGAAGCACCAAGCGUUUCCCAUCCUCUGAAAGCACAUGGUUUCUCUCUCCAGUUACCAAACUCAGUUCCCACAGACUUCCACUCCAUGC